UGAAGGAGCUGUUCAACUCCCUUUGCUCUGGACUGGCUCCAGAGAAAGGAGGAGAGUGUGCGGCUGUGCUUCACAAUAAGGCCUCAGGUGGCAAGGGAUUAAGAAUGGCCGGAAUAAGCCAAGGCAACUUCAACACACCCUCAGCUGUUCUCUUAUAGAUCUCAGAAAUGAGGAGCAACAGCAAAGGCUACAAAAAGCCCCUGGAGGCGGAAAUGACCACGUCACAAGCCCAUGUGCCUUGGAACUCAGGAGUGCAGCCUGGCUGGAAGGAGUCCUGACA